rnacentral:rRNA from 1 species
CUUCCUUCUAAAGGUUAAUCCUGCCCAGUGAACUAUUCAACGGCCGCGGUAUUUUGACCGUGCAAAGGUAGCAUAAUCAUUUGCCUUUUAAUUGUAGGCUAGUAUGAACGGAUAAACGAAGUUAAACCUGUCUCCCUAUUAUAAUAUGUAAACUAGCCUCUAGGUGAAGAGACCUAGAUACAAAAAAAAGACAAGAAGACCCUGUUGAGUUUUAUAAUUAUAUAUUUUUAAUAUAUAUAAUUAUUUGGUUGGGGCGACUAAGGAACACACCCAUCUUCCCUUUUAUUUCAGAUACACACAUUUAUCCUUGACCCACUUUUAUGAAUACAGGAAUAAACUACCACAGGGAUAACAGGCUAAUCUUUCUAGAGAGCUCAUAUUGAUAGAAAGGAUUGGCACCUCGAUGUUGGCUUAGGGUUACUGAUUGAUGCAGAAAUCAAUUACAGUUAGUUUGUUCAACUAUUAAUACCCUACGUGAUCUGAGUUCAGACCGGA